CUAAUAAGUUUAUCUCUAAUCAUAAUAAAUGACUUAUGUAAGUUAAUAUUUAAGGAAUACAGUUUUAAAUUAUUACUAAGGAUCCACCAGUAACACGGGAGACCUCGGUUCGAUCUCUCCAUUCGAUCUCAGGUUGGGAAGAUCUCCUGAAGGAGGGCAUGGCAACCCACUCCACUACUCUUGCCUGGAGAAUCCCCAGGGACAGAGGAGCCCGCUGGGCUACAGUCCAUUGGGUGGCAAAAAGUCAAACGAUUGAACGACUAAGUACUGGCAAAUGUUAAUUUACUUACAAAGUGUAUCGAGAUUUUAAAUGUCUGUAAAUGUAAUGAGGGGAAAGAGAAGAUAAUAUUCUCUUAUGAGAGAGAGAAUGCUAUACUUCCUACUUUUAACUGGAAAACUGCAAAGGAGACAAGUAUAUGGAAAAGUCUAGAUAUAAGCCAAAUGAGUUAAGAGCUCCAACAAAUGUAAAGGAAAGAAACAAAAUUAAAUGAGUGAUAUUAAAUCGGAUAGGAAAGAUCAAAGAAGAGUCAAUCAAAGAAGAAGAUAUUUGAGCUGGAAUAGUAUAAGAAAAUAAAAUGUUUAUUUUAUUAUUAAAAAAAUUAUGUUCUUUCAUUAUUAAAAAGCUUCAUUUUCACUCUAGUUUUGGGGUAUUUUACAAUAUUUAGAUUUACUUCUAAUAAUCUAGAGUAUUUACUCAAAUAAACACCCUGGGAAAUAAAUGCCAAAUUUGGCUGGUUACAAUCACUUUUUAAGCAUAUAUAAUUAAAAGUCAACAAAGUAUAGUUUAUUUACUAAGCACACAGGAAACUCAAAUCUGCAGGGGUUGCCUUUUUCAUCACUGUACCAUGUUCACAUUCCUUAUACACUUUCUGUGCAGGAACCAAACAUAGUAAACAUAAUAAUAGUAUAAAGUAAAUUAUGAAAAUAAAAAGUUAGCCCAAAUAUAUUUGGAGGGUUAGCUUACUUGAGCUAAAUCUUGUAAAAUAAACAAUUGCCCCUUCCUGUAAGUGUNNNNNNNNNNNNNNNNNNNNNNNNNNNNNNNNNNNNNNNNNNNNNNNGCAUGCUUUUUAAUAUAUAUGAUCAGUAAGGCUGAAUAGUUCACUAAUGCACUGUAUUCCCUAAUGAACCAACCAAUUUGAUAACUUUGCCAAUGCCAGCUUUCAAACAAAGCAGCCCCUCAUUGACAUUCCAGUGCAAUAGCUAAUAACAAUUAGAUUUCAUUCUAGCAUUGUAUCUUGUCAUUGUCAUCCCAACAAGAGAUGCUCUCCUUAUAAUCUAUAGAAUUGACAUAAAUGUAAAUGU
rnacentral:lncRNA from 1 species